AGCAGCCGCGGUAAUUCCAGCUCCAAUAGCGUAUAUUAAAGUUGUUGCAGUUAAAAAGCUCGUAGUUGAAUUUCGGGAUCAAUACGUCGGUCGUGCUUCGGUACGUACUGGCGUAAUUGAUUUCUCCCUUCUGACGAACCAUGAUGUCAUUAACUUGGUGUCAUGGGAAAUCAGGACUGUUACUUUGAAAAAAUUAGAGUGUUUAAAGCAGGCUCACGCUUGAAUACAUUAGCAUGGAAUAAUGAAAUAGGACGUUCGAUCCUAUUUUGUUGGUUUUUAGGAUCAACGUAAUGAUUAAUAGGGAUAGUUGGGGGCAUUAGUAUUCAAUUGUCAGAGGUGAAAUUCUUGGAUUUAUUGAAGACUAACUACUGCGAAAGCAUUUGCCAAGGAUGUUUUCAGUAAUCAAGAACGAAAGUUAGGGGAUCGAAGACGAUC
rnacentral:rRNA from 1 species